rnacentral:lncRNA from 1 species
UAAAGGUACAUCUGACGAAGUUUGAGUUUUUUUCUUUGUUUGGUCCCAAAAUUUAUUAUAACUACCAUUCUCAAUCAACCUUGCUUGGGAUGCUAUAAACUGGUUGUGCCAUUAAGGAAAGUGCAUCCAAUUCAUACUCGUGGAGACAUGUUUACACUAUGGGGCUUCAUUUGCAUCAUCUACAGACACACGUCGAGGUUGUUUUUGUUUCCAUGUAAGCUGGACUCGUUCGAUCAGGACCAACAGAGAGAAAAACAACAUGGAAAUGGAGGAUAAUCAGUUGAAUCUGGAUAAGAACUCAUCUUCUCAAAUGCAUUUCACAUUUACAACCUGAACAGGAACAGAAAACAUGCCGCUCCCAACUGUUUGCACAAGGACAGGAGAUGAUAGUGAAAACAAAAUCAAUUGAAACUGAACGACCGCUGGAACUGGUUACCAUUGUACAAAGGCCAAAGGAGAGCUUUCUUUCCACAUAAACUGUGGCUCAAACUAAAGACGAGGGUCCAACAAUCGGAGACUUUCAACUUAUAUUUAAGAAAGAGCUAGGAAUAUGCAUUUAUGACCUUUUAUAGCGAAAGUACCACUGCCAAAUGUGUGACUUGCAUUUCUCUCAGCUAAUUGCAUGUGACUUUUAUUUUUUGAUAAUAUAUAAACAUUUGUAAUCUCAGGGAAUGUCUAUCGCCGGUGCUGGAUCCCUUAUCUUAACAUUAUCGUAAAAAAUAUCGAACACUUCUCGACGCCGAUUACAAAAGUAUUACAUGUUAAAAAAGGUAUAUUAACCAACUGCUCAUAACUGCAAUUACUAUUUAACUUUGUUCCAAAACAAGCUUUACGACCUCCAA